UACGGGAGGAGCGAAUGUUAUCCUACUUGACUGGGUGUAAAGGGUCCUACGACGGUAAAUUAAAUUGUUAGCAUAAGAUGGAAGCACAACUUUCAAAAAAUUUUCAAGACUGAUUUACUUGAGUUUAGGAGAAGAUAAUAGAAGUUUUCAUGUAGGGAUAAAAUCCGGUAAUAUGAAAGCGAAUACCAGCGGCGAAGGCGAUUAUCUAGCUUAAACUGACGUUCAAGGACGAAAGGGUAGGGAGCGAACAGGAUUAGAGACCCUGGUAGUCUACCCCCUAAAAUAUGGGUGCCGGCUUUUAAAGUUAUUUUUAGAGGCUCAGUUUACGCGUUAAGCGCCCCACCUGGGAACUACGAUCGCAAGAUUGAAACUCAAAGGAAUUGGCGGGGACCAAAGCAAGUGGUGGAGCAUGUGGUUUAAUGCGAUAAUCCGCGCAAAAACUUACCAGUUCUUGUAUUUUUUUUUUGAGAAAGAAAAACAAGUGUUGCAUGGCUGUCGAAAGCCCGUGUUUAAGAUAUUUGGUUUACUCCAUUAACGGGCGAAACCCUUGAUAUUAGUAUUUGUAAAAUUAUAGAUGAAUUAAACAAUACCUAAUAUGAUUAUUAAAUACGAAAGUAAUUGAAAAGGGACUAUGACAAGUCCUUAUGGCCUUUAUGAACUGGGCUACACAUGUGCUACAAUGGUUACUACAAAGAGAAGCAAUAAAGCGAUUUAAAGCAAAUCUCUAAAGGUAACCUUAGUUCAGAUUAUAGAUUGGAACUCAUCUAUAUGAAGCUGGAAUCACUAGUAAUCGUGAAUCAAAAGCGUCACGGUGAAUAAGACUCGUGAGGUCU
rnacentral:rRNA from 1 species